GAUGAACGCUGGCGGCGUGCUUAACACAUGCAAGUCGAACGAUGAAGCCCAGCUUGCUGGGUGGUUCAGUGGCGAACGGGUGAGUAACACGUGAGAAACUUGCCCUUAGCGCUGGGAUACGCCUGGGAAACUGGGCCUAAUACCCGAUAGGAGCGUCCACCGCAUGGUGGGAGUUGGAAAGAUUGAUCGGUUUUGGAUGGACUCGCGGCCUAUCCGCUUGUUGGUGAGAUAAUGGCACACGAAGGCGACGCCGGGUAGCCGGCAUGAGAGGGUGACCGGCGACGCGGAGGCUGAGGCAGGCCCCAGACUCCGACGGCAGGCAGAGGGGGGGAAGAUGGUCCAACGAGGGCAAGCCUGAUGCAGCGACGCUGCGUUCGGGAUGCAGGCCUUCGUGGUGUAAACCUCUUUCAGUCAGGAAGAAGCGAAAGUGACGGUACCUGCAGAAGAAGCACCGGCUAACUACGUG
rnacentral:rRNA from 1 species